GACGAACGCUGGCGGCGUGCCUAAUACAUGCAAGUCGAACGAACCGCGACUAGGUGCUUGCACUUGGUCAAGGUGAGUGGCGAACGGGUGAGUAACACGUGGGUAACCUACCUCAUAGUGGGGGAUAACAGUCGGAAACGACUGCUAAUACCGCAUAGGACAUAGGAUCACAUGAUCCAGUGAGGAAAGGUGGCGCAAGCUAUCGCUAAGAGAUGGACCCGCGGUGCAUUAGCUAGUUGGUAGGGUAAAGGCCUACCAAGGCGAUGAUGCAUAGCCGACCUGAGAGGGUGAUCGGCCACAUUGGGACUGAGACACGGCCCAAACUCCUACGGGAGGCAGCAGUAGGGAAUCUUCCGCAAUGGACGCAAGUCUGACGGAGCAACGCCGCGUGAGUGAAGAAGGUCUUCGGAUCGUAAAGCUCUGUUGCUAGAGAAGAACAGCGCAUAGAGUAACUGUUAUGCGUGUGACAGUAUCUAACCAGAAAGCCACGGCUAACUACGUG
rnacentral:rRNA from 1 species